rnacentral:rRNA from 2 species
CAGCCGCCGCGGUAACACCAGCCCCUCGAGUGGUGGGGAUGAUUAUUGGGCCUAAAGCGUCCGUAGCCUGCCGUGUAAGUUUCCCGUUAAAUCCAGCGUCUUAAGCGUUGGACCGCGGGAAAUACUGUACGGCUAGAGAGUGGGAGAGGUCAGCGGUAUUCUGGGGGUAGGGGCGAAAUCCUUUGAUCCCCGGAGGACCACCAGUGGCGAAGGCUGCUGUCUAGAACACGUCUGACGGUCAGGGACGAAAGCUGGGGUAGCGAACCGGAUUAGAUACCCGGGUAGUCCCAGCCGUAAACGAUGCAUGCUAGGUGUUGGGUUGGCCACGAGCCACCCCAGCGCCGCAGGGAAGCCGUUAAGCAUGCCGCCUGGGAAGUACGAUCGCAAGGUUGAAACUUAAAGGAAUUGGCGGGGGAGCAC